UACAGAGGGGGGCAAGCGUUGUUCGGAAUUACUGGGCGUAAAGGGCUCGUAGGCGGCCAACUAAGUCAGACGUGAAAUCCCCUCGGCUUAACCGGGGAACUGCGUCUGAUACUGGAUGGCUUGAGUUUGGGAGAGGGAUGCGGAAUUCCAGGUGUAGCGGUGAAAUGCGUAGAUAUCUGGAGGAACACCGGUGGCGAAGGCGGCAUCCUGGACCAACACUGACGCUGAGUGAGCGAAAGCCAGGGGAGCAAACGGG
rnacentral:rRNA from 1 species